UUUCACAACUUGGAGAAGGUUUUGAUUCGGUUUGGUGAUCGCGUUUCGUUGGUGGAUCUUGCAUUUUGAAUUCAUUGUGAUCGGCGAUAAGGUAAUCCAGGGGGCAUUGGGGACGAGCGAAGAGUGUAGAACGAUUUGGACCUAGCACUUUUGGCCUU